GAACGCUGGCGGCGUGCGUAACACAUGCAAGUUGGACGACGGUAUCAAGAAGUGGUAACACGGAUUGAUAUACGGAGUAGCGGACGGGUGAGUAAAGCAUGAGAAGCUGUCCUACGGAGGGGGAUAACGUUCGGAAACGGACCCUAAUACCCCAUAGUCCGAGAGGUUAAAGGCAGAGAUGUGCCGUAGGAGGUGCUCGUGUCCUAUCAGCUAGUUGGUGAGGUAAGGGCUCACCAAGGCUUCGACGGGUAGCCGGCCUGAGAGGGUGACCGGCCACACUGGAACUGAGAUACGGUCCAGACUCCUACGGGAGGCAGCAGUGGGGAAUAUUGGGCAAUGGGAGGAAUCCUGACCCAGCGACGCCGCGUGAACGAAGACGGCCUUCGGGUUGUAAAGUUCUUUUAUGUGGAAGAAGAGCGUGACGGUACCACAUGAAUAAG
rnacentral:rRNA from 1 species